rnacentral:rRNA from 1 species
CUUAAUCCUAAAGGGCGUGAAAUAAGCAUAAUCGGAUACCGUUUAAUUGACGGGGAGUUGAAUGGAUUUACGAGUGACAAUCUGUCUUUUUCUAAGAAUAAAUGAAUUAGAAGUAUAAGUGAAGAUGCUUAUUAAAACAAAAAGACGAAAAGACCCCGUGAAGCUUAACUAUAAGUCAACUAGAGAAAAGAAAUUUCUUCUUAGUUGAAAGGGUAGUUUUGGUGGGGUGCCAGUACGUUAAAAAGAACAUGAAGUUAAUUUAGUAAGACUAAUAACUAGUGUAAUAAACAAAUUUACGCAGAGGAGAAAACCGAUAAAGUGACCCGACUAAGGUUUAAAAUUAAGUCGACAAAGAAUAAUAGCUACUCCGGGGAUAACAGG